rnacentral:rRNA from 1 species
CCUACGGGAGGCUGCAGUGAGGAAUAUUGGUCAAUGGUCGGGAGACUGAACCAGCCAAGCCGCGUGAGGGAGGAAGGUACAGAGUAUCGUAAACCUCUUUUGUCAGGGAACAAAGACUGGGACGCGUCCCCGGAUGAGUAUACCUGACGAAAAAGCAUCGGCUAACUCCGUUCCAUCAGUCGCGGUAAUAGGGAGGAUGCGAGCGUUAUCCGGCUUUAUUGGGUUUAAAGGGUGCGCAGGCAAUCUGUUAAGUUAGCGGGAAAAGCCCGGGGCUCAACCCCGGCCCGCCGUUGAAACUGGCAGUCUCGAGUGGGAGAGAAGUAUGCGGAAUGCGCGGUGUAGCGGUGAAAUGCAUAGAUAUCGCGCAGAACUCCGAUUGCGAAGGCAGCAUGCCGGCUCCACACUGACGCUGAGGCACGAAAGCGUGGGUAUCGAACAGGAUUAGAUACCCCGGUAGUC